CCUACGGGUGGCAGCAGUGGGGAAUAUUGCACAAUGGGCGAAAGCCUGAUGCAGCAACGCCGCGUGAGCGAUGAAGGCCUUCGGGUCGUAAAGCUCUGUCCUCAAGGAAGAUAAUGACGGUACGUGAGGAGGAAGCCCCGGCUAACUACGUGCCAGCAGCCGCGGUAAUACGUAGGGGGCUAGCGUUAUCCGGAAUUACUGGGCGUAAAGGGGGCGUAGGUGGUUUCUUAAGUCGGAGGUGAAAGGCUAGGGCUCAACCGUAGUAAGCCUUUGAAACUGGGAAACUUGAGUGCAGGAGAGGAGAGUGGAAUUCCUAGUGUAGCGGUGAAAUGCGUAGAUAUUAGGAGGAACACCAGUUGCGAAGGCGGCUCACUGGACUGUAACUGACACUGAGGCACGAAAGCGUGGGGAGCAAACAGGAUUAGAUACCCCUGUAGUC
rnacentral:rRNA from 1 species